UGGGGAAUUUUGGACAAUGGGCGAAAGCCUGAUCCAGCAAUGCCGCGUGUGUGAAGAAGGCCUUCGGGUUGUAAAGCACUUUUGUCCGGAAAGAAAUCCUUGGCUCUAAUACAGUCGGGGGAUGACGGUACCGGAAGAAUAAGCACCGGCUAACUACGUGCCAGCAGCCGCGGUAAUACGUAGGGUGCAAGCGUUAAUCGGAAUUACUGGGCGUAAAGCGUGCGCAGGCGGUUUGCUAAGACCGAUGUGAAAUCCCCGGGCUCAACCUGGGAACUGCAUUGGUGACUGGCAGGCUGGAGUAUGGCAGAGGGGGGUAGAAUUCCACGUGUAGCAGUGAAAUGCGUAGAGAUGUGGAGGAAUACCGAUGGCGAAGGCAGCCCCCUGGGCCAAUACUGACGCUCAUGCACGAAAGCGUGGGGAGCAAACAGGAUUAGAUACCCUGGUAGUCCACGCCCUAAACGAUGUCAACUAGUUGUUGGGGAUUCAUUUCCUUAGUAACGUAGCUAACGCGUGAAGUUGACCGCCUGGGGAGUACGGUCGCAAGAUUAAAACUCAAAUGAAUUGACGGGGUC
rnacentral:rRNA from 1 species